GGCUCGGUGGUGGAUGGUCCACACCUGCAAUACAUGUCAGUUUAACAUCACUGUGUGUAGGAGUGCCCGUUCGAUUCGGGCCCGAGCCA